rnacentral:rRNA from 1 species
UACAGAGGGGGCAAGCGUUGUUCGGAAUUACUGGGCGUAAAGGGCGCGUAGGCGGCCUUCUAAGUCGAACGUGAAAUCCCCGGGCUCAACCCGGGAACUGCGUCCGAUACUGGAAGGCUUGAAUUCGGGAGAGGGAUGCGGAAUUCCAGGUGUGGCGGUGAAAUGCGUAGAUAUCUGGAGGAACACCUGCGGUGUAGACGGCUUUCUGGACCAUUGUUGACGCUGAGACACGAAAGCGUGGGUAGCAAACAGG